AUUGAACGCUGGCGGCAGGCUUAACACAUGCAUGUCGAGCAGAGAGAGGUAGCUUGCUACUGAUCUUAGCGGCGGACGGGUGAGUAAUGCUUAGGAAUCUGCCUAUUAGUGGGGGACAACAUUUCGAAAGGAAUGCUAAUACCGCAUACGUCCUACGGGAGAAAGCAGGGGAUCUUCGGACCUUGCGCUAAUAGAUGAGCCUAAGUCGGAUUAGCUAGUUGGUGGGGUAAAGGCCUACCAAGGCGACGAUCUGUAGCGGGUCUGAGAGGAUGAUCCGCCACACUGGGACUGAGACACGGCCCAGACUCCUACGGGAGGCAGCAGUGGGGAAUAUUGGACAAUGGGCGGAAGCCUGAUCCAGCCAUGCCGCGUGUGUGAAGAAGGCCUUAUGGUUGUAAAGCACUUUAAGCGAGGAGGAGGCUACUUUAGUUAAUACCUAGAGAUAGUGGACGUUACUCGCAGAAUAAGCACCGGCUAACUCUGUGCCAGCCGCCGCAGUAACAC
rnacentral:rRNA from 1 species